CAAUAAGCGGAGGAAAAGAAACCAACAGGGAUUGCCUCAGUAACGGCGAGUGAAGCGGCAACAGCUCAAAUUUGAAAUCUGGCUUCCUUUGGGAGUCCGAGUUGUAAUUUGCAGAGGAUGUUUCGGGUACCGCUCCGGUUUAAAUUUCUUGGAACAGAAUGUCAGAGAGGGUGAGAAUCCCGUCUUGGACCGGCGGUAGGGCCCAUGUGAAACUCCCUCGACGAGUCGAGUUGUUUGGGAAUGCAGCUCAAAAUGGGUGGUAAAUUUCAUCUAAAGCUAAAUAUUGGCCAGAGACCGAUAGCGCACAAGUAGAGUGAUCGAAAGAUGAAAAGCACUUUGAAAAGAGAGUUAAACAGUAUGUGAAAUUGUUGAAAGGGAAGCGCUUGCGACCAGACUUGUACGCGGCGGUUCCCCCGUCCUUUUGGGCGGGCUAUUCCGUCGUGUUCAGGCCAACAUCGGUUCUGGGGGUUGGUUAAAGGCUUAGGGAAUGUAUCUACCCUUUGGGCGUAGACUUAUAGCCCUAGGUGUCAUACAACCUCCCGGGACCGAGGAACGCGCUUCGGCUCGGAUGUUGGCGUAAUGGUCGUAAGCGACCCGUCUUGAAACACGGACCAAGGAGUCUAACAUUUAUGCGAGUGUUUGGGUGUCAAACCCGGAACGCGGAAUGAAAGUGAACGGAGGUAGGAAGCUUUUAGCUGCACUAUCGACCGAUCCUGAUGUCUUCGGAUGGAUUUGAGUAAGAGCAUAACUGUUGGGACCCGAAAGAUGGUGAACUAUGCCUGAAUAGGGUGAAGCCAGAGGAAACUCUGGUGGAGGCUCGCAGCGGUUCUGACGUGCAAAUCGAUCGUCAAAUUUAGGUAUAGGGGCGAAAGACUAAUCGAACCAUCUGGUAGCUGGUUC
rnacentral:rRNA from 1 species